rnacentral:rRNA from 1 species
GAUGAACGCUGGCGGUAUGCUUAACACAUGCAAGUCGAACGGACUCUUCGGAGUUAGUGGCGGACGGGUGAGUAACGCGUGAGAAUCUGGCUUUGGGUUCGGGACAACCACUGGAAACGGUGGCUAAUACCGGAUGUGCCGAGAGGUAAAAGAGAAAUUGCCUGAAGAUGAGCUCGCGUCUGAUUAGCUAGUUGGUGAGGUAAAGGCUCACCAAGGCAGCGAUCAGUAGCUGGUCUGAGAGGAUGACCAGCCACACUGGGACUGAGACACAGCCCAGACUACUACGGGAGGCAGCAGUGGGGAAUUUUCCGCAAUGGGCGAGUGCCUGACGGAGCAAUACCGCGUGAGGGAAGAAGGCUCUUGGGUUGUAAACCUCUUUUCUUAGGGAAGAACAAAAUGACGGUACCUAAUGAAUCAGCAUCGGCUAACUCCGUG